UACGAAGGGUGCAAGCGUUACUCGGAAUUACUGGGCGUAAAGCGUGCGCAGGCGGUUUUGUAAGUCUGUCGUGAAAUCCCCGGGCUCAACCUGGGAAUUGCGAUGGAGACUGCAAGGCUAGAAUCUGGCAGAGGGGGGUAGAAUUCCACGUGUAGCAGUGAAAUGCGUAGAGAUGUGGAGGAACACCGAUGGCGAAGGCAGCCCCCUGGGUCAAGAUUGACGCUCAUGCACGAAAGCGUGGGGAGCAAACAGG
rnacentral:rRNA from 1 species